rnacentral:rRNA from 1 species
AGUGAACGCUGGCGGUAGGCCUAACACAUGCAAGUCGAACGGCAGCACAGUAAGAGCUUGCUCUUACGGGUGGCGAGUGGCGGACGGGUGAGGAAUACAUCGGAAUCUACUUUUUCGUGGGGGAUAACGUAGGGAAACUUACGCUAAUACCGCAUACGACCUACGGGUGAAAGCAGGGGAUCUUCGGACCUUGCGCGAUUGAAUGAGCCGAUGUCGGAUUAGCUAGUUGGCGGGGUAAAGGCCCACCAAGGCGACGAUCCGUAGCCGGUCUGAGAGGAUGAUCAGCCACACUGGAACUGAGACACGGUCCAGACUCCUACGGGAGGCAGCAGUGGGGAAUAUUGGACAAUGGGCGCAAGCCUGAUCCAGCCAUACCGCGUGGGUGAAGAAGGCCUUCGGGUUGUAAAGCCCUUUUGUUGGGAAAGAAAAGCGGCAGGUUAAUACCCCGCUGUUCUGACGGUACCCAAAGAAUAAGCACCGGCUAACUUCGUG